CUAUUAGGUUGGUGCAAAAGUAAUUGCGGUUUUUGCAAUUAACUUUAAUGGCAAACCACAAUUACUUUUGUACCAACCUAAUACUU
rnacentral:miRNA from 1 species